GACGAACGCUGGCGGCGCGCUUAACACAUGCAAGUCGAACGAUGAAGCCCUUUCGGGGGUGGAUUAGUGGCGAACGGGUGAGUAACACGUGGGUAACCUGCCCUGUACCCUGGGAUAAGCCUUGGAAACGAGGUCUAAUACCGGAUAUGACCUGCUCUCGCAUGGGGGUGGGUGGAAAGUUUUGGCGGUGCAGGAUGGACCCGCGGCCUAUCAGCUUGUUGGUGGGGUGAUGGCCUACCAAGGCGACGACGGGUAGCCGGCCUGAGAGGGCGACCGGCCACACUGGGACUGAGACACGGCCCAGACUCCUACGGGAGGCAGCAGUGGGGAAUAUUGCACAAUGGGCGAAAGCCUGAUGCAGCGACGCCGCGUGAGGGAUGACGGCC
rnacentral:rRNA from 1 species